rnacentral:rRNA from 1 species
CGGGUGAGUAACGCGUGGGUAACCUGCCUCAUACAGGGGGAUAACAGUUAGAAAUGACUGCUAAUGCCGCAUAAGACCACAGCACCGCAUGGUGCGGGGGUAAAAACUCCGGUGGUGUGAGAUGGACCCGCGUCUGAUUAGCUAGUUGGUGAGGUAAUGGCCCACCAAGGCGACGAUCGGUAGCCGGACUGAGAGGUUGAACGGCCACAUUGGGACUGAGACACGGCCCAG